rnacentral:rRNA from 1 species
UGGUUCAGGCAUGCAAGUCGAACGAUGGUGAGAGAAAUCGAACCAUAGUGGCAGAAGGGUUAGUAACACGUGGGCAAUCUACCCCCGAAUCGGGGAUAACAUUUCGAAAGAAGUGCUAAUACCCGAUGACACCCAAUCCUCGCAUGAGGGAUGGGUCAAAGGUAGCUUCGCAAGGAGCUUCCGUUUGAGGAGGAGCCCGCGGCCUAUCAGCUAGUUGGUGAGGUAACGGCCCACCAAGGCUUUUGACGGGUAGCUGGUCUAAGAGGACGAUCAGCAACAUUGGGACUGAGACACUGCCCAGACUCCUACGGGAGGCUGCAGUCGAGGAUCUUUAGCAAUGCCCGAAAGGGUGACUAUGCGACGCCGCGUGGAGGACGAAGGCCUUCGGGUUGUAAACUCC